ensembl:lncRNA
CCACUGAAACAUGUUUAAAUAGGUUUAUUGAAGACAAACGAAGCCUACAUGAGUUUACUUUGCAUUCCACCCAAAGACAAAGUAAAACAUUAAAGCCAAGUGUUUCAGAGUCCUGACUGCCAUCAAGAUAUGUUACUGUAUAUGACCGAAGGAACUUCGUUCUGGUCUCAUUUGGGCUCCACUACAGCCAUAAACAUUCCCAAACUACUGCCUCUGCUGCUGAACUGGGGGAUAGACUGGGACUUGUGGAUGACCGGGGAUGAUGGGCAAGUCUCUGAUGUAGUGAUUGUUAUGGUAGUGGUCUCUUCCCUGCUCAUAACUGGUGCUGAAGUGACUGACAGUGCCUGGAGGAUAUUGGCCAGUCAGGAACUGGUAGUCGUAAUAAGGAUACCAAGGAAAACCAAAGCCUGGGCCACCAGGUGGAAAGUACAGGUCUGACACUGAAGGGGCAGAGCCAUCUGGCAGAGGGAAAGGGCCUGGUAGAGGGAAAGGGACUGGGCCACCUGGAAAACGGGGACUGCCUUGAUCUUCAGUUUCAGAGUCAGAGUUGCCAUGCUCGUAGGUCUUCUCCACAUGAGACAAUUCACCUCCCUGGUAGGCUGGAGGGCCUGGUACUGGGCCACCUGGAAAACGGGGACUGCCUUGAUCUUCAGUUUCAGAGUCAGAGUUGCCAUGCUCGUAGGUCUUCUCCACAUGAGACAAUUCACCUCCCUGGUAGGUUGGAGGGCCUGGUAUAAACCCACUGCUGGGACCAAAGGAUUCAGCGUCUCCAAGACCACUGGACGCACCAAGAGAUGAAGAGGUCUCAACAGGAAGAGGCUUGACAGGGUCAACUUCCCAGCUGUAGGCUAAGAGCACAAGUUAGAGGUUAAGCAUUGUAUCAAGUCCAUAGAGAUUCAAUUGAAGGCAUUGAAGCACUGAUCCUGAAGGUACCAACUCAUCUACGUGGCUUUGGUUCCUUCAGAGAAGUCUUGAAAAUUUCUCUAGUGCAGGAUCAAUAGAGGUUUAAGCACAUCUUGAAUGGGGCAACACUUCUUCAGGAACAGAGCUUAGAUGUCUACUUAAAGAAUUUAUCCAGACAUGUCCUAGAGUCAAUAUUACAAUUGCUACAGUUCCUAUGGCAAGCUCACUGCUUUACUCAUUAACCAAUGCACAAAAAUAAAAUCCACAUUAGCACUCAUUACCUUGAGGUGCACCAGGUUGUAAACUUGGCUGCACUGACCCUGGAAGGUAGCCACCAGGGUAUUGUGCAGGUGCAGCAGGAUAGUAGGAAGAACUGUAAGCAGCAGCUGCUGGAUAUGAGGCAGGCUGGGAUCCAGAAAUAGAUACAUAUCCUCCAGAAGGGUGUUGAUAGCCAUAACCAGGAUUUGUACUGUCACCACCACCAGAGGAGCUUUGAUCCCCACCUGGAUAGUAAGAAGUCUUUAGCACAACUGAAACUGCUUGACUUUGAACAAACAUUUAAGUAUGGAUAGGUCUAACCUUUCUUUACAGGGUAGCUGUAACUGGUUCCAAUCAGCACAACAAGGAGCAAAGCCCUAUUGACAGAGGAAAAAAAAAAACAACAUAACUACAAGUAACAACAGAAACCAGCCAAAACAUCAAAUUGCCACUUACCCAGAGGGGAGCCCAACAGCCAUCAUGUUGAAUGAGCAGCUUCUACUACUGCCCCUCUCACCCCUUGGAAGGUUUAUGAAUGUUGCAGGUGAGCUGCACUGGCCAAUCAGAACAUAAUGAGUAGACGAUACACAGCUGCUGCUCCUUAAAUCCUGAUGAAGGUGGAUCACCAACCUGAAAAUUAAAUAUGUUGAAGCUGCCCA